CGAAUCAUUCACAAUGGGCGAAAGCCUGAUGGUGCGACGCCGCGUGGGGGACGAAGGUCUUCGGAUUGUAAACCCCUGUCACCAGGGAAGAAACGCUAUUCAAUAAUAUUGAAUAGCCUGACUUAACCUGGAGAGGAAGCAGUGGCUAACUCUGUGCCAGCAGCCGCGGUAAUACAGAGACUGCAAGCGUUAUGCGGAUUCACUGGGCGUAAAGGGUGCGCAGGCGGUUGUGUGUGUCAGGUGUGAAAUCUCGGGGCUUAACCCCGAAACUGCGCCUGAAACUACAUGACUAGAGCAUUGGAGAGGGUAGCGGAAUUCAUGGUGUAGCAGUGAAAUGCGUAGAUAUCAUGAGGAACACCAGAGGCGAAGGCGGCUACCUGGACAAUUGCUGACGCUCAGGCACGAAAGCGUGGGGAGCAAA
rnacentral:rRNA from 1 species